UCCUCUGAUCAGUGGCGAACGGGUGAGUAACACGUGAGCAACCUGCCCCAGACUCUGGGAUAACAGUUGGAAACAGCUGCUAAUACCGGAUACGAGACGGAGAGGCAUCUCUACCGUCUGGAAAGUUUUUCGGUCUGGGAUGGACUCGCGGCCUAUCAGCUAGUUGGUGAGGUAAUGGCUCACCAAGGCGACGACGGGUAGCCGGCCUGAGAGGGCGACCGGCCACACUGGGACUGAGACACGGCCCAGACUCCUACGGGAGGCAGCAGUGGGGAAUAUUGCACAAUGGGCGAAAGCCUGAUGCAGCGACGCCGCGUGAGGGAUGACGGCCUUCGGGUUGUAAACCUCUUUCAGCAGGGAAGAAGCGAAAGUGACGGUACCUGCAGAAGAAGCACCGGCUAACUACGUGCCAGCAGCCGCGGUAAUACGUAGGGUGCGAGCGUUGUCCGGAAUUAUUGGGCGUAAAGAGCUUGUAGGCGGUUUGUCGCGUCUGCAGUGAAAAUCCGAGGCUCAACCUCGGACUUGCUGUGGGUACGGGCAGACUAGAGUAUGGUAGGGGAGACCGGAAUUCCUGGUGUAGCGGUGGAAUGCGCAGAUAUCAGGAGGAACACCGAUGGCGAAGGCAGGUCUCUGGGCCAUAACUGACGCUGAGAAGCGAAAGCAUGGGGAGCGAACAGGAUUAGAUACCCUGGUAGUCCAUGCCGUAAACGUUGGGCGCUAGGUGUGGGGCUCAUUCCACGAGCUCCGUGCCGCAGCUAACGCAUUAAGCGCCCCGCCUGGGGAGUACGGCCGCAAGGC
rnacentral:rRNA from 1 species